rnacentral:miRNA from 1 species
UAGGGGAAAGUAAGAUGAAGGA